rnacentral:rRNA from 1 species
UACGUAGGGGGGCAAGCGUUGUCCGGAUUUAUUGGGCGUAAAGAGCGUGUAGGCGGCUAGGUAGGUCCGUUGUGAAAACUCGAGGCUCAACCUCGAGACGCCGAUGGAAACCAUCUGGCUAGAGUCCGGAAGAGGAGAGUGGAAUUCCUGGUGUAGCGGUGAAAUGCGCAGAUAUCAGGAAGAACACCCGUGGCUAAGGCGGCUCUCUAGUACGGUACUGACGCUGAGGCGCGAAGGCGUGGGGAGCGAACGGG